CGAUUGUUGAUCCAAUAAUCAAGUACAGGUGGUCUGGAGUCCGGGUUGUGACCGGGGCCUGUGUUUGGACCCCUGGUAGGUUUGAAACUGAAGUCGUAGCAAUACUUGCGACCGGGGCCAGGGUCCGCAGUGAAUCUGAAAUCGUGGUUUUAGUGGGGACCGUGAUAGGAAGUAAGGCCCGCGACGUGCCUGGAACUAGGGUACCGGUAAGGGUUAGGAUGGUGGCUAGGGUCCGGGGUGGACCUGAAAUCGUGGUUCUGGUGGGGACCGUGAUAGAACCAAAGGUCCGGGACAUGUCUGGAACCAGGGUACCUGUAAGGGUCGGGGUGGUGGCCAGGGUCCGGGAUGAAUAUGAAACCAUGGUUCCGGUGGGGACCGUGAUAGGAAAUAAGGUCCGGGACGUGUCCGGAACUAGAGUACCG